GAAGCAUGUUCAUGAUUAAAUCUGUAUGCUGGCUUAUUUGAGUGACUGCUCUCUGAUUGUAUCUUCCUCAGUCCUAGUUCUUCCUCUUCUUCUUCUUCUUCUUUUUUUUUUUUUUUUCUUUUCUUUUUUCUUCCCUUUCCUUCCUUUCUUUUUGGUUUAGAGAAGCCCUUUCAAUAUUUCCUUUAACCUGGGUUUUGUGUUGCUGUAUUCUUUAAGUUUUUGUUUGUUGGGAAAAAUUUUUAUUUCCCCUUCUAUUUUAAAUGAUAUUCUUGCUGGAUAAAGUAUUCUAGGUUGCAUAUUUUUUCCUUUGAGCACUUUAAAUAUCUCUUGCCAUUCCCUCCUGGCCUGUAGUGUUUCUGUAGAGAAAUCAGCUGAUAUUCUUAUGGGGGUUCCCUUGUAGGUAACAUUCUGUUUUUCUCUUGCUGCCUUUAGGAUCCUCUCUUUAUCACUAACUUUUGCCAUUUUUAUUAUGAUGUGUCUUGGUGUGGGUCUGUUUGGGUUCAGUUUGUUUGGGGCCCUCUGUGCUUCUUGUAUCUUGAAUCCAGUAUCCUUUAGAUUUGGGAAGUUUCCAGCAAUAAUUUCUUCAAAUAUAUUUUCCAUUCCCUUAUCUUUUUCUACUCCUUCUGGAAUUCCUAUUAUGCGUAGAUUGGCCCGCUUUAUAUUAUCCCAUAGGUCUCUUAUAUUGCUUUCCAGUUUUUUGAUUCGGUUUUCUGUCUGUUGACCAGAUUGAGUGAUUUCCAUUAUUCUAUCUUCCAUAUCACUGAUUCGUUCUUCUGCAUUAUUCAUUCUGGUUUUUACUGCCCCUAGUUCAGUUUGCAUCUCUGCAAAUGAAUGUUCUAGUUUUUCUUGGCUCCUCCUUAUAUUUUCUAGCUCCUUUCUGAGGGUAUCUGCAUUGCUGUUCAUAUCUUCUCUUAAUUCCUUCAGUAUUUUCACUAUUUCUCUUUUGAACUCCAGGUCUGUCAGACUGCAGAGAUCAGUUUCAUUGUUGACUGUUUUAGGUGAGUUCUCCUGUUGGUUUGACUGGGGGUGGUUUCUCAGCUUCUUCAUCUUGCUUGUUGUCUUCUUUCUCCUGAGGGAGUUGUACUCUCCGUUAUCGGGUAGUGUUUGCCUUGUCACUGCCCUGGAAUAUUUCCUGAGGGCUGUCGUUGUUGGUCAAUCUUUUUUUGAGGCAGUGUGGCUUUUCUGGAGUGUUGAUGGGACUAACAGUGUUUCUUUGAAGCAAAGGAGGACUUCCUGAGGGCAGACAGGACUGGGAGGUCCACCCCACGAUGGUAGCAGAUUUCACUUGGUUCUCAGCACCCCCUGGGGUCUUGGGCGGGUAGCAGGGCCCUUGGAGACUCAAGAGGUUCCUCCCCAGGGCAGCCCGACUCAGAAAGACCGUCUGAGAUCUUUUCCCGAUUCCGCCAGGCUUGUUGCAGCUUUUCUGGGCUGCAGGGGGUCCUGCCGGGAGCUGGCAGGCUUGUGCAGCUGGUCCACUAGGUCUCAGCACCCCUUGGGGUCUUGGGCGGGUAGCAGGGCCCUUGGAGACUCAAGAGGUUCCUCCCCAGGGCAGCCCGACUCAGAAAGACCGUCUGAGAUCUUUUCCCGAUUCCGCCAGGCUUGUUGCAGCUUUUCUGGGCUGCAGGGGGUCCUGCCGGGAGCUGGCAGGCUUGUGCAGCUGGUCCACUAGGUCUCAGCACCCCUUGGGGUCUUGGGCGGGUAGCAGGGCCCUUGGAGACUCAAGAGGUUCCUCCCCAGGGCAGCCCGACUCAGAAAGACCGUCUGAGAUCUUUUCCCAAGUCGGCCAGGCUUGUUGCAGCUUUUCUGGGCUGCAGGGGGUCCUGCCUGGAGCUGGCAGUCCUAUGCAGCUGGUCCACUAGGUCUCAGCACCCCCUGGGGUCUUGGGCGGGUAGCAGGGCCCUUGGAGGCUCAAGAGGCUCCUCCCCAGAACAGCCCGACUCAGAAAGACCGUCUGAGAUCUUUUCC
ensembl:lncRNA